rfam:Lactobacillus diolivorans DSM 14421 NODE_61, whole genome shotgun sequence.
UACAGUGGUCUGGGGUGCUGAUUCAAUUCAGCUGAGAAAUACCCAUGGAACCUGACUCAGUUAGUACUGACGUAGGAAGACCGUUUAGUCAACUU